AUACGGAGGUCCCAAGCGUUGUUCGGAAUUACUGGGCGUAAAGGGAGCGCAGGCGGAUAGGUCAGUUUAAAGUGGAAUCCCGAGGCUCAACCUCGGAAGAGCUUUGGAUACUGCCUAUCUUGAGUUCGUGAGAGGAAAGUGGAAUUCAGGGUGUAGCGGUGAAAUGCUUAGAUAUCCUGAGGAACACCAGUGGCGAAAGCGACUUUCUGGCACGAAACUGACGCUGAGGCUCGAAAGCGUGGGGAGCGAACGGGAUUAGAUACCCUAGUAGUCC
rnacentral:rRNA from 1 species